UACGUAGGGGCAAGCGUUAUCCGGAUUUACUGGGUGUAAAGGGAGCGCAGACGGAACUGCAAGUCUGAUGUGAAAACCCGGGGCUCAACUCCGGGAUUGCAUUGGAAACUGUCUGACUUGAGUACUGGAGGGGUAAGCGGAAUUCCUGGUGUAGCGGUGAAAUGCGUAGAUAUCAGGAGGAACACCGGUGGCGAAGGCGGCUUACUGGACAGUAACUGACGUUGAGGCUCGAAAGCGUGGGGAGCAAACAGGAUUAGAUACCCGUGUAGUCCCUGA
rnacentral:rRNA from 1 species